rnacentral:lncRNA from 1 species
CGUACAACUGCGAAGAAGAACAUAAAAAAGAGAAAGAAAAGAGAGAUAGAGAGCAUAUCAGUCUACUUAUCUACUUAUCACAAGACAGGAAGUAAAGUGACAGUGGGCUUGAGUCAUGGCAGGAUAAUGCUAGGGAAGAGUGUACCCGGGGCAAUGAAGCAUGACACUCUAGAUAGGCUGACAUCAUUUUAAACCGCCAUCAUCAUUAUAGCUCAGACCAUUCAUGUUAUAGCUCGGACCAUUCAGUAUAGGCUCCCAAAUUACAUAUAGGCCCUAUCCUGUUUCCGGUAACACUUUACUUGACACCCAGCGUCAUAACACGUUAUGACAUGUUCAUAACCAUGUCAUGACAUAUUAAUAAUGGCACCGGAGGGAAUGGCUGCCGUUUUACUGGCUCCUACCCAACUUUGCUAUUUUGUUUGUUUUUGCACAUUUUUUUUACUAAUUUUGUACACAAUGUUGCUGCUACCGUCUCUUAUGACCAAAAAUAACUUCUGGACAUCAGGACAGUGAUUACUCACCUCGAACUGGAGGAAUAUUUUUACUUUAAUGAGUCCGAGGCGAAGGAUAUACUGCUUCCUGGAGACCAGGCCUUCAUCCCCGUCAUUCGCGUGAAGAAAAGACGGAAAUACAUGGGGCAGAGGUCUGGGAGCCUUGUGAGAAUUUGUCGGCGAUUCUGUUCCCUAGUUUCCCCGGUUCUGACCAUUCUGCCUGGCCUGACCCCAAGCCUGCCUGCCAUUCUGUGCCUACCUGACUCUGACCCAUUUACGAACCUCUGCCUGUCCUGACCCCGAGCCUGCCUGCUGUUCUGUACCUUAUUGACUCUGCCCUGGAUUGCGGACCUCUGCCUGCCUUUGACCUGUCUUUUGCCUUCCCCC